CGUUGGCCCGGGGGGCGCACGCCAGCUGUUGAAGUCCCGGCAGGAUCCGGCCGCGUCCCAGUUUCCCAGGAGCACGCCCGAGGUCCAUGGGACGAGGGGCGGCACUGGAUUGCCCCUCCGGAGACCAGGGCUGGACCCCCAUUGCUGGAGACUCCCGGUGCUCAAGAGGAACUGGCCGGGGUGAGGAGAGGCGGCUUCGCGAGAGAGCUGGGCAGCCCGGGACCUUGGGCGGAAAUCGGAGCCCUCCAGGUCCCUCUCAUCACCCCCUGGAGCUUGCAGGUCCUGCUCUUUUGCCCCCUGGGGCCUGGGAGCCCCUGAAGACGCCAAACAAAAAUGUGCUGUUUUCUGGUUUCCUGCCUUCGGCUGCAGCGCUGGGGCUGACCACAAGGGGCGGGCAACAGGAGCAGGGAAGGGACGGGGUCAUUCUGGCCGUGCCUCUGCCCCCAUCCCAACCUGCAUCUUUUAUUACUGGCCUCCAUGCCACAGUGUGAGUUGUUCAGGGGCGGGGGGCUCUGAGAACCUCAUGGAUUCCUUCAGCUACUGAGAAAAAAGCAAAAUUACUUUUUAUUUGUGGGGCUGAAAAAAUUCUUUACAUACUGCAUUUGCUUCACACUAUGGCCACAAGUAUUUUUGCAUUUUGCUACUGUCCAUUUUGUUUGACCCCUCCCUCUUUUGUCCCACUCCAGCGUGAAAAUAUGUCCCUGAACCUGGUAACCUGGUUGAGACUUGCAGGGUGGGGACUGUGAAGCAGGCACGCAGGAGAAGCUGGUAGAGUACGUGGUGUCUGACCUCCAGGGCAGACUCCUGUGUCACCCCCUUCUCCACACAAUGGGGCACAGCCUGCUGCAGAGAGGCAGGUGCCGCUGCUGCCCACAGUAGCACACUGGGGACGCCGCAGCCACCUAGCUGUGUGUCUUGGGAAUGUUCCUCCACCUCUCUGAGCCUCAGUUUGCUCGUGUGAAACCUGGAGUGCUACAAGGGCCAAACCCAGGGCUGUUGUCUGUACUAAUGUGAGCUGUGCGGAGCACUGACCCUGAGCCUGACGUCUGACCCCGGGCCUGGCCCGUGGGGAGGACUGCUCAGGGCUGUGGUUGUUCUUGUUUAUGGUUUUCUCUCCCAGGUGAAGAAGCUGUCUGUCUCAGGCCUCACUCAUCCCAUGGCCUUGGGGAAAGCUGCUCCCCGUUUGUAAAGGAGGUUUCACAUUCUGUCUGGGGUCCCCUGACCCAGGGUGCACCGCGGAAUCGAGGUUCACUCCAACAGCCACGCACAUGUUAAGUGCCUACUGUGCGCAGGCCUUUUCUAGGUGCUCUGCAUAGCUCACCGAAUGCAGCAUCCGAAGUCCCUGCCCCCGGGCUUCUAGUCCAGUCCCGGCCCAGCAGACAUCAGAGCAGGUAGAGGACACAGGACACUGGAUGCGAGCCCCCCUGGCCUCCUCUAGAUAUGGGUUCCUCUGCCCUCAACGUCAGGAUGACAGACCCCAGGGACAACCAGAGGAGUGCGUGGGCUCUGGGUCAAGAGAAAGGGCUCCUGUCUCCAUGGUGGGGGACAUGGGCUGAGGCGGGGCCUAGCAUCUGGAGGAUGCGGACUUUACGGCCUGAAGCAGUUUGUGACUGACAUGUAGCCUGGUGUGCCCAGCCGAGGCCUGGAGCACCUGCCUGCCUUUUGACCCAGCUGGGUGAGCAGGGGCCCACUGGGGCCAAGCUCUAGGGUGACUGAGGGUGGGCGUGGAUGGGGAGGGGCAGUGCUGGGGUGGCUCAGACAAUCAGGCGGACUCCGCCUGGGAAGACGUUGGUCUCCAGAAGGCUUGGGCCGGGAUCUGCCUUUGGAGAGAUCUGUGGGAAGGCGGGCAUGCGGUAAUCUCCUGCAGUCCCCGUGUGUCCCCAGAGUGGCGCUGGCCCCACACCAGCUCCUGCACCACCUCAAGAGCUAGAUCCAGCUGCACACCUACAGCGCUGGAGCCCGAGGUGUCGGUCACGGGGCCUGGUGCCUCCUCCGGCAGCACAGCCAGAGCCAGAGCCAGAGCCAGAGCACAACCAGUUCUCGCGUCAGCUCCGGAGCUGGAGCGCGCCUGGCACUCCCCCGACACCCCCCGGUACCCCCCAGCACCAGCUCUUGAGGCGCAGCCAGCAGCUCUCCCCUCUGCUGGUCUCUCCCCUCUGCUGGUAGCAAUUUUUGUUUCUUUUCCAUUUUUCUCUUUCCUCUUUUUGAAUUUUAUAAACAUUUUGUGUGUUAAAAUUUAGAUUCAAUAAAAUGUAACCUUCUGAUCAUUUUAAA